rnacentral:rRNA from 1 species
AUGAGUGCCGGCCUAGUGGACCUACAUAAAUCUCUUCACCUCCUCGUUUCAUCAGGAAGAGCUACAAAGACACACAGGAUCAUCAGGCACUGCAUUUAUUACCUCAUCAAAAGACUCAAAUAUGUCGAUGCUUGGUUGAUGAAUGGUGCAAACAACUGUCCGUCCUGUAUCUACAGUAUUCCUUAUUGCCCUCAUGACAAUGGCUGCUGCCCGUGCAUCAAGUCCAGAUGUUGGUUCGUCCAUGAAAAUGAUGGAAGGGGAGAGUUCCACCAAUUCCAUGACCUCAUCAAUGAACAUCUGCAGACCAGGUUUCAUGUGUUAGAGCAGUCAGCAGGUAAUCGGAGCCAUGAAGAGAAUGCAAGAGACUCAUAG